AGAGUUUGAUCCUGGCUCAGGAUGAACGCUGGCGGCGUGCUUAACACAUGCAAGUCGAACGAACCUUCGGGUUAGUGGCGGACGGGUGAGUAACGCGUGGGAAUCUGCCCUCAGGAGGGGGAUAACGGCUGGAAACGGCCGCUAAUACCCCAUAUGCCGAGAGGUGAAAUGAAUUUCGCCUGAGGAUGAGCCCGCGUCUGAUUAGCUAGUUGGUGAGGUAAGAGCUCACCAAGGCAUCGAUCAGUAGCUGGUCUGAGAGGAUGAUCAGCCACACUGGGACUGAGACACGGCCCAGACUCCUACGGGAGGCAGCAGUGGGGAAUUUUCCGCAAUGGGCGAAAGCCUGACGGAGCAACGCCGCGUGAGGGAUGAAGGCCUCUGGGCUGUAAACCUCUUUUCUCAAGGAAGAAGAUCUGACGGUACUUGAGGAAUAAGCCACGGCUAAUUCCGUGCCAGCAGCCGCGGUAAUACGGGAGUGGCAAGCGUUAUCCGGAAUUAUUGGGCGUAAAGCGUCCGCAGGCGGCCCUUCAAGUCUGCUGUUAAAACGUGGAGCUUAACUCCAUCAUGGCAGUGGAAACUGUUGGGCUUGAGUGUGGUAGGGGCAGAGGGAAUUCCCGGUGUAGCGGUGAAAUGCGUAGAUAUCGGGAAGAACACCAGUGGCGAAGGCGCUCUGCUGGGCCAUAACUGACGCUCAUGGACGAAAGCCAGGGGAGCGAAAGGGAUUAGAUACCCCUGUAGUCCUGGCCGUAAACGAUGAACACUAGGUGUCGGGGGAAUCGACCCCCUCGGUGUCGUAGCCAACGCGUUAAGUGUUCCGCCUGGGGAGUACGCACGCAAGUGUGAAACUCAAAGGAAUUGACGGGGGCCCGCACAAGCGGUGGAGUAUGUGGUUUAAUUCGAUGCAACGCGAAGAACCUUACCAGGGUUUGACAUCCUGCGAACCUCUUGGAAACGAGAGGGUGCCUUCGGGAACGCAGUGACAGGUGGUGCAUGGCUGUCGUCAGCUCGUGUCGUGAGAUGUUGGGUUAAGUCCCGCAACGAGCGCAACCCACGUCUUUAGUUGCCAGCAUUUAGUUGGGCACUCUAGAGAGACCGCCGGUGAUAAACCGGAGGAAGGUGUGGAUGACGUCAAGUCAUCAUGCCCCUUACAUCCUGGGCUACACACGUACUACAAUGCUACGGACAAAGAGCAGCAAGUUCGCGAGGACAAGCAAAUCUCAUAAACCGUGGCUCAGUUCAGAUCGUAGGCUGCAACUCGCCUACGUGAAGGAGGAAUCGCUAGUAAUCGCAGGUCAGCAUACUGCGGUGAAUACGUUCCCGGGCCUUGUACACACCGCCCGUCACACCAUGGAAGUUGGCCACGCCCGAAGCCGUUACUCCAACCCUUGUGGAGGAGGACGUCGAAGGUGGGGCUGAUGACUGGGGUGAAGUCGUAACAAGGUAGCCGUACCGGAAGGUGCGGCUGGAUCACCUCCUAA
rnacentral:rRNA from 2 species